AGAUUCAUGGCCCAAUGGAUAAGGUGUUGGUUUACGAAACCAGAGAUUCUGGGUUCAAUCCCAAUCAGUUAA
rnacentral:tRNA from 1 species